GCAGCUCGCCCGCCAGGCCGAAGCAAUCGAAGAGCCACGCCUUUGGGGUCGUUCUUGCCGGAAGUCUUGCCGGGCGCGCAGGGGCUGUGUCUGAUUCUGGGUUCUUUCCUGGGGUGUGUUUGGAGUCUGGAGAACCUAUGAUUCCAGACGUUGGUGUUUAAAAGUUAAGGCGAAUGUGGAAACAUCCGAGGGGAACUUUUUCAUGCAUUAGCGCACCUUGAGGUGGGACGGGAAGCUGUGACUGCUCUCCCUCCACCAGCCGGCGCGGGGACCCGUGGGGUUCAGUGAAGGGUCCAGGAGUUCAGGUACCCGUCCUGGGCCUGGGCCUGGGCCUUGGCUCCGGGUUACAGUGUGAGAUCCCGGGCUAGGUGGCCCGCCUGGGGCAGGUCGCCGGGACAACCCCACAGCUCCGCAAGUCCAACCUGGCCUAGGGCAUGGUAGGGUUUGCGGUUAAGCUUGUGGCCUUUAGACUUCUGAAUAUUCAUAUGAAGUAUGAUAUACAGAAAAGUGUGCAUAUGAUGAAUUUACAGCGUGAUUAAUGACCAGAGUGAACACAACUGCUUAGCCGACACCGAGAUCCAAAAAACCACUAUUCUGAAAGCCUUCCUCUUUCCCAAAGGCAACCGCGAACUCAACACUACAGAUUCGUUUUGCUUGCUUUUGAUAUAAAUAGAAUCAUGCAGUAUGCUUUUUUUGGCCUAGUUUCUUUGAGUCUAUAUUAUGUCUGGAGUCCAUCCAGGUUGCCUACAGAGAUGGUUUGUUUGCUUUCGCUGCUGAAGAGAGUUCCAUUGUAUAUAUUAUACCAUAAAUUACUUAUUCUGCUGUUGAUGGACAUCAAAGUUGUUUUCUGUUUAGGGCUAUUCUGAGUAAUGCUGCUAUGAAUUUUCUGUUCUACAAUCCACCUGGAGAUGAUUCUCCUUGAACUUUUAUUGAAGUAUGAUAUACAUAAAGAAGAGUGAAAACUGAACACACCCAAGCAACUAGCAUCCUCAUAAGAACAGGACAUUGCCACAUUCCAGAAGCCCCCCUCCUGUCUUCAUCUAGUCACCACCCUUGCCCCAAGGGUAACCAUUAUCCUGACAUCUUGUAUAGAUUUGCUUUGCCUAGUUUUGUAUUUAUGCAAAUGAGGUACCUUACAUAUUUUUUGCUUAACAUUAUGUUUGUGUGUAGAUGUAGUUCAUUUAUUCUCACUGUAAUAUAGUAUUUAAUUGUGGAUGUUUCACAAUUUACUUAUCCAUUCUGCUGUUGAACAUUUGGGUAAUUUUCACUCUGGAGCUUUUAUAUUAUAAAUAGUGUACCUACAAACACAAUAAUAUAUCUUUAUGUGAAUGCAUAUACUGAUAUAUACCCAGGGAUGGAAUUACUGGGUCAUAGGGUUUACUUAUGUUCAGCUUAAGUAGGAUAUAGUUUUCCAAAGUUGUUGUACCAACUUAAACUCCUUGCUAACGUUUAGUAUUGUCUUUUUAAUCUUAGCCAUUCUGGUACAUAGGUAAUGGUAUGAAAUUGUGGUUUUAACUGUAUUUCCCUAAUUACUAACAUAGUUGAGAACUUUAAAAAAUAUAUUUAUGUUCAUUUGGAUAACCUCGUUAAUGAAGUGUCUGCUUAGGUGUUUUGCCCAUUUUUCUACUGGGUUUUUUUCUUUAAAUGAUUUGUAGGAGCUCUUUAUAUUGUUUCAAUAGGAAUCCUUGUGAGCUAUGUCUGUAGUGAAUGUUUUCUCCCUGUGGCUUGUGUUUUCACUCUCUUAAUGGUAUCUUUUGAUGAACAGAAGUUCUUCAUUUUAAUACAGUCUGAUUUAUGAAUCUU